rnacentral:rRNA from 1 species
UAGGGAAUAUUGGUAAUCUGGGAAACCGGGAACCAGCAACGCCGCGUGCGCGAUGAAGGCCUUCGGGUUGUAAAGCGCUUUUUGAGAGGAUGAGGAAGGACAGUACUCUUAGAAUAAGCCUCGGCUAACUACGUGCCAGCAGCCGCGGUAAAACGUAGGAGGCGAGCGUUAUCCGGAUUUACUGGGUGUAAAGGGAGCGUAGACGGCAAGGCAAGUCUGAUGUGAAAACCCAGGGCUUAACCCUGGGACUGCAUUGGAAACUGUCUGGCUCGAGUGCCGGAGAGGUAAGCGGAAUUCCUAGUGUAGCGGUGAAAUGCGUAGAUAUUAGGAAGAACACCAGUGGCGAAGGCGGCUUACUGGACGGUAACUGACGUUGAGGCUCGAAAGCGUGGGGAGCAAACA